rnacentral:rRNA from 1 species
UACAGAGGGUGCAAGCGUUGUUCGGAAUUAUUGGGCGUAAAGCGCGUGUAGGCGGCUUUGCAAGUCGGGUGUGAAAGCCCUCAGCUCAACUGAGGAAGUGCGCCCGAAACUGCGGAGCUUGAGUACCGGAGAGGAUGGCGGAAUUCCCCAAGUAGAGGUGAAAUUCGUAGAUAUGGGGAGGAACACCGGUGGCGAAGGCGGCCACCUGGACGGUAACUGACGCUGAGACGCGAAAGCGUGGGUAGCAAACAGG